rfam:Staphylococcus aureus subsp. aureus NCTC 8325, complete genome.
UUAUCUCCUUUAGUUAUUUGUUUAGUCACUUUUAAUUAUAGAGAUAAUUGCGCUUUUUU